rnacentral:sRNA from 1 species
GACACAUCCAGGACCACUCCUGUCUGAGGGCCGGCU